rnacentral:rRNA from 1 species
UACGUAGGGGGCAAGCGUUGUCCGGAUUUAUUGGGCGUAAAGCGCUCGCAGGCGGUCCCGUGCGUCGUGCGUGAAACGGCCCCGGCUCAACCGGGGCGGUCGUGCGAUACGGUGCGGGACGUGGAGGCCAGUAGGGGACGCGGAAUUCCGGGUGUAGUGGUGGAAUGCGUGAGAGAUCCGGAGGAACACCAGCGGCGAAGGCGGCGUCCUGGACUGGACCUGACGCUCAGGAGGCGAAAGCGUGGGAGCGAACAGG